UACAGAGGGGGCAAGCGGUUGUUCGGAAUUACUGGGCGUAAAGGGCGCGUAGGCGGUGCUCUAAGUCGGAUGUGAAAACUCUGGGCUCAACCCAGAGCCUGCAUCCGAAACUGGAGUGCUGAGAGUUCUGGAGGGGGUAGCGGGAAUUCCUGGUGUAGCGGUGGAAAUGCGUAGAUAUCAGGAGGAACACCGGUGGCGAAGGCGGCUACCUGGCAGAAACUGACGCUGAGGCACGAAAGCUAGGGGAGCAAACGG
rnacentral:rRNA from 1 species